ACGCUGCGCGCGUCCGUGAUGCCGGGGAUCUGCAACCCCCCAUCCCCUAGCCCCCUCCCCGCCCCUGCUCCCCCCACGCUGCGCGUGUCCGUGAUGCCGGGGAUCCAUCUCCUCUCCCCCAUCUCUCCUGUACGCACUCUCUCUCUCCUCCCCAAGCUGCUGACUGGCUCGCGAAGUCGCCAAGGGAUCAAUCGAGAUCUAAUCUCGUUUCUGAGAUGGGUGCAUCUACCGCCAUGGGAGCGCUCGAGCAGGCCCACCUCGCGGCCGUCGCUUCCGCAUGCGAUGAUGAUGAGCAAAACGACGCCGCAGGCCUUGCACGACGGCGACGAACCCGUCGACACCGCGUCGCCGGCGACGAGCCCCGACGGGGAUGCCACGAAGCAGCAGGAUUGCGCGUCCUCCGCCACGCCGCAUUCUCCUCCGCCGGCGGCGGCGACGGCGGGCUGCUGGAGCACCUUGUCGAGCGUGGCGCGGAGGCCAGCGGCGACGGCCUCGUGGCUCCUGGCGACGCCCAGCCACGCCUGGCCCUCCCCGGCUAGCUGCCGGAGCCGCUCCUCCAGAUCCGCGCCGCGGCGGCGCGCGCGCUCCAGCUCUGCCUCCGCGGCGCGGAGCCGAGCCUCCGCCGCGCGGCCCACGGCUGGCUCACGGUCCAGCAUCAUGGCAACGUAGAGCGGCAGCACAGCCGUGAGCACUGGUCGGGCGUGAAGAUGCGCUACCACCGGAUCCUCCCAAGAGUUUGUUUCUCUGCAGAGAACCCAUGGUCAUGCGACGAGCCACGGCUCAUCGACGAAAGCCGCUUCACUGCAAGUCUGCAACAUGCUCACCAUCCAGCAUUGUCGUCAUCUUGUACACAAUCCUAGCUCCUCUCCUCCUUCAGACUGUCUAGGCGCUGGAACGCAGUGAGUCUCCAACUGUGUGCCUCGCUGGCCUUCUUUAGUAAUCGGGCCUUCAAGAUUGCCAUGCAACAAACGCAAUGGAGCAGACAAGCAAGCCAAGGACAAUUAGCAACUUGAAGGUAUUGGACAUGCCAUCGUAGGUGUGUGCAUCAUGGCCUAGUCGCUAGCACGAGCCCAGACAGGUUAUUGUAGAAGUCUAUGGCCGUAAGGCUCUGCAUUGCAGCAAUGGUUGCCGAUAUUUCUCCACCAAGGUGGUUCCGGGACAGGUUCAGGUAGUUGAGUAUUCGGCUAUUAAUGGUUAUUUCGACUGAGGUCCAGGUAGGUGAGCAAGCGGUACUUCCCAUCUCCGGCGACGCACCAGUGCCGGAAAUCGGCAGGAAGCUACCGGACAGGGAGCCGGUCGUCGGCGAUCCAGCGCAUCGGAUCGGGCGGCAGAGAAGGACUCGGGUUGUUUUGAAAAACGGGGUAGGCGAUCAUAGGGCCACCUCCUUCGUUACUGAGCUCCGGUUAUGGCUGAUGAUGCUCGACAGUGGUUAAAUCUGGCAAGAAGCACAAAAUACCAAAGUUGUGGGUGUUAUAAUACUAGAAAUGCAAUUGCUUGGUUCAGGAUAAUAAUUUUACGAAGCCCAGACAUGGGAUACCUCCGUUCCAAAAAAACUCUCAGAGACACCGUGUCCGUCGACGAACAAAGGAUUUACUGUGACGCAACGCACGCACCUCGACCCGCACCAGCGCGUCGACCUCCACGCCCUGGUGGUACAGCUGCGACAGGACGCCACUGGCCAUCGGGCGGCUGGUGUUGGGGCUUGACGAGGACGACCGCCAUGAGGGCCUGUGCUGGACACCCAAGCAUGUCUCCAAGGCCUUCCGCGAUGGCACCCGAGGUACAGGGGUCCCACUGCUUUCAACUCUCCAAUUUCCCUCUCCCCUGACAUCGUGGAUCCGUCUGUAACUGUCGUCCCCGUGCUUUGUCUCUCUGUGGAAAAUGGUGUCUUCCUUCUUACUAUCUCGUUCUACACCCUCCACAUGCUUGCACGGUGUUUGGGUUGAUGUUCAUGUCAGUGUUAAUAUUCUAAGCAAUCACGCCUAUCUUAUAAGAUUAGUGACCACAAAUAUAUUCACUUUAAGUUCUUGUUGGUACAGUCUUGCAUGUGGUUCCAAAGUGUAGUUUAUUACCCAUGUUUCUUCCUGUGAAAAUAAGGCUAUAUAAUUUGGUCAACAAAAAACAAGGUUAAAUAUGUUGUUUGCUGGUAUUUUUCAUGUAACCUAUAUGUUUACAUGUUAUUUGCAAAUACCCCAGCAGAAAGUUAUAUGCACACUGACUAACUGUGUUGAAUGCAUAAAGCAGGCGCACAAUCACACCUGCCUGGAUGGCACUUUGGCUAUUCUUUUUCCUUUUUAAUAAUAGAAAAAACAGGUAAAUUAUAUAUGCAAAUAACCGUUGGAAAAAUCCUUCCUUGUGAGCAUUGCUAAUAGUUUGUGAAAUUCAUCUAUAUGCAUGGAAACAUCUUGCAGAGCAUGCAGGGCUUUAUAUCCCAUUAGACAGAGCACAUUAGACGACAGAGUGGUGUCAACUUUGGGCAUAUCGGGAGCUAGGAGAGCAUGGGCGGCAGGCUUCUGCCAUGGUCAAUUUUUUUGGUUUUGGCUCCCUCAUGUGCAGGGCCGAUGCAAGCGAAGGUGAUAUUGAGGGCCCCUUUGGUAGGGCUUAUUUUUCAGCUUCGGCUCUGGCUCAUGCAAAAGUUAUGCCAAACACCUCUUUUUCAAAUGGCUUCACCAGUGAAGUGCUUUUCCAAAAUGAACUAUAGGGCAUGAGCCAAAAAAGUGGCUCACCCGGCUUCAGCUCACGUCAUUUUUGCACAAUAGCCCUCCCACCAGUCCAAAUUAUUUUUUGGUCCUGCCCUCAAUCCCUAGCCACGUACAGGAGAGAUAAACUAUACCAGGGUCUUUCUGAAAAACAACCUAUAAGCCGUUUUGCCAAAUAAUUUUUCAGAAUGGCUUUGGCUCAUCUAAAGAAGUGGCUUCACCUCGUGAGCCAGAGCCAAAGUCGUUUUUGGAGAAGCCAGAGCCCUGUCAAAGGGGCCCUGAAACAUCUAGAGAGGAGGGGCUCAGCAGUAUCUGAGAGAGCUAAAACUAUGUAAAUUAUUUAAGGGGGUGUUUGGUUUAUAGGGACUAAUUUUUUUGUCCAUCAAUUUUAUUAUAUUUUAGUCCCUAAAAUAUUAAAUAUGGAAAAUAAAACUCUAUUUUAGUUUAACUAUUUAGAAAUUUAGUAACUAAAAUGAAAUAAAAUAAAGGGACUAAAAAUUAGUGAUGGAGUACCGCCAGUGUUAAGCCAGUAAACUGGCGCAUGCUGGUCCAGAGUAAUUAAGGUAAGAAUGUAGGAUAUGGAGACUGGUAAAUACGUAGGGUUGUUUUUAGUUAUUACUAUACUAUUUUGUAAUGUAAUUAAUGUUCGUCGCUACUUCCCAGCAGUGGUGUAGUUGCUCCUGAUUUGUUCGCCCAUCAUGAUGUACAUGAUCAUCACUCAUGUUCUCUCCUUACAUGCUUAGGCUUCCGAUCGUUUUGUAGCUGUUGUGAUAGAGAUCUGACAAGUCUAAGCAGGAAAGUGUGUAGAACUCCCCGCUGUCAAAAUGUAAUUAUUUCUGGUGAAAUCUAGAGUUCUGUAGAAAUUUUGCAUUCCAUCAAACAGUCAAUACAUUACACAUGCAUUUGUCGAUUGUUCUUUUCGUUGGAAGUAGUUUGAUCAUUCCCAUAUGUUCAUACCUAAUGCAAUAGUCACUUUCGGAUUGAUGUGGCAUUACACGAACAUAGUUUUUAUUUUUAACCCAUGUUCAUUGACUUGCAGAUUCUGGAAGCACUUACAGCAAAGAAUUGCCGAGAGGACUUUUCGCAGGAAUCAUUAGAGACACUUGGGGAUUCUUUUUCAACUAUAUUACAGCCCAACACUUUUUUGGCAAAUACAAAAAUCAGCAUGAAGGCGCGCUGACCAAGAUGAAUAAAAACGUGAUCUCGAAUGCAGCUUUAUGCCAGCUUGCUUGCAGUAACAGUCUUGCGGUAGUCUUACCUAACCUGGCUUCUUUUUUGAAAUCUUAAGUUUUGUUUACGUGAGUUGUCCCUAGAAUCGUAGAUUUGCAAACAUAAUCUACCGAAUACAGCAGUUUGGAUCAGCAUAGUAUCUGAAUUUGCUCCUGAUUGUAUUCUAUGCAAUGUCGUGUAAUAUACUUGCCUGAUUUAUUGUGUUUCCCUUAUAAUUGCCGU